rnacentral:rRNA from 1 species
GAGGAAUAUUGGUCAAUGGGCGUGAGCCUGAACCAGCCAAGUAGCGUGCAGGAUGACGGCCCUAUGGGUUGUAAACUGCUUUUAUACGGGGAUAAAAGGGUGAACGUGUUCUCCUUUGCAGGUACCGUAUGAAUAAGGACCGGCUAAUUCCGUGCCAGCAGCCGCGGUAAUACGGAAGGUCCUGGCGUUAUCCGGAUUUAUUGGGUUUAAAGGGAGCGCAGGCUGCACUUUAAGCGUGUUGUGAAAUGUACCGGCUCAACCGGUAACGUGCAGCGCGAACUGGGGUGCUUGAGUACGAAGAGGGAAGGCGGAACUCGUGGUGUAGCGGUGAAAUGCUUAGAUAUCACGAGGAACUCCGAUCGCGAAGGCAGCUUUCCGUUUCGGAACUGACGCUGAGGCUCGAAAGUGCGGGUAUCGAACAGGAUUAGAUACCCUGGUAGUCCGCACGGUAAACGAUGGAUGCUCGCUGUUGGAUAUUUUUAUUCAGUGGCUAAGUGAAAACGUUAAGCAUCCCACCUGGGGAGUACGCCGGCAACGGUG